ACGAACGCUGCCGGCAUGCCUAACACAUGCAAGUCGAACGAAGGUUUCGGCUUUAGUGGCGCACGGGGUGCGUAACGCGUGGGAAUUUGCCCUCUGGUACGGAAUAACUCAGGGAAACUUGAGCUAAUCCCGUAUAAUGACUUCGGUCCAAAGAUUUAUCGCCUGAGGAUGAGCCCGCGUCGGAUUAGCUAGUUGGUGGGGUAAAGGCUCACCAAGGCGACGAUCCGUAGCUGGUCUGAGAGGAUGAUCAGCCACACUGGGAUUGAGACACGGCCCAGACUCCUACGGGAGGCAGCAGUGGGGAAUAUUGGACAAUGGGCGCAAGCCUGAUCCAGCAAUGCCGCGUGAGUGAUGAAGGCCUUAGGGUUGUAAAGCUCUUUUACCCGGGAUGAUAAUGACAGUACCG
rnacentral:rRNA from 1 species